GACGAACGCUGGCGGCGUGCUUAACACAUGCAAGUCGAACGGAAAGGCCCUGCUUGCAGGGUAAUCGAGUGGCGAACGGGUGAGUAACACGUGGGAGAUCUGCCCUGCACUUCGGGUUAAGCCUGGGAAACUGGGUCUAAUACCGGUAAGGAGCGAUGUUGAGUGUGGGGGUUGGAAAGACUUUUCGGUGUUGGAUGAGCUCGCGGCCUAUUAGCUUGUUGGUGGGGUAAUGGCCUACCAAGGCGGCGACGGGUAGCUGGCCUGAGAGGGUGGACCGCCACCCAGGGACCUAGGGACGGCCCCGGUUCCUACGGGUGGCAGCAGGGGGGAAUCUUGCACCAUCGGCGCCAGCCGUGUGCAGCAAGGCUUCGGAGUGUAAGACAGCCUUAGGGUUGAAAACUCCUUUUGCUAUGGACGAUGCCUUUUGUGACGGUACCUAGAUAAGAAGCACCGGCUAACUACGUG
rnacentral:rRNA from 1 species